rnacentral:rRNA from 1 species
UACGGGGGGGGCAAGCGUUGUUCGGAAUUACUGGGCGUAAAGGGCUCGUAGGCGGCCAACUAAGUCGGAUGUGAAAUCCCCAGGCUCAACCUGGGAACUGCAUCCGAUACUGGAUGGCUUGAAUCCGGGAGAGGGAUGCAGAAUUCCACGUGUAGCAGUGAAAUGCGUAGAGAUGUGGAGGAACACCGAUGGCGAAGGCAGCCCCCUGGGUCAAGAUUGACGCUCAUGCACGAAAGCGUGGGGAGCAAACAGG